AGCAGCCGCGGUAAUUCCAGCUCCAAUAGCGUAUAUUAAAGUCGUUGCAGUUAAAAAGCUCGUAGUUGAAUUUCGGGGUCAGUAGAUUGGUCGUGCCACUGGUAUGUACUGGUCUCACUGGCUCCUCCUUCCUGAUGAACCGUAAUGCCAUUAAUUUGGUGUUGCGGGGAGACUGGACUGUUACUUUGAAAAAAUUAGAGUGUUUAAAGCAGGCUAACGCUUGAAUACAUUAGCAUGGAAUAAUGAAAUAGGACGUUCGAUCUUAUUUUGUUGGUUUCUAAGAUUGACGUAAUGAUUAAUAGGGAUAGUUGGGGGCAUUAGUAUUCAAUUGUCAGAGGUGAAAUUCUUGGAUUUAUUGAAGACUAACUACUGCGAAAGCAUUUGCCAAGGAUGUUUUCAUUAAUCAAGAACGAAAGUUAGGGGAUCGAAGACGAUCAGAUACCGUCGUAGUCUUAACCAUAAACUAUGCCGACUAGGGAUCGGAUGACGUUAAUUUUUUAAUGUACUCAUUCGGCGCCUU
rnacentral:rRNA from 1 species